rnacentral:rRNA from 1 species
UGAGGAAUAUUGGUCAAUGGUCGGCAGACUGAACCAGCCAAGUCGCGUGAGGGAAGACGGCCCUACGGGUUGUAAACCUCUUUUGUCGGAGAGUAAAGUACGCUACGCGUAGCGUAUUGCAAGUAUCCGAAGAAAAAGCAUCGGCUAACUCCGUGCCAGCAGCCGCGGUAAUACGGAGGAUGCGAGCGUUAUCCGGAUUUAUUGGGUUUAAAGGGUGCGUAGGCGGCACGCCAAGUCAGCGGUGAAAUUUCCGGGCUCAACCCGGACUGUGCCGUUGAAACUGGCGAGCUAGAGUGCACAAGAGGCAGGCGGAAUGCGUGGUGUAGCGGUGAAAUGCAUAGAUAUCACGCAGAACCCCGAUUGCGAAGGCAGCCUGCUAGGGUGCGACAGACGCUGAGGCACGAAAGCGUGGGUAUCGAACAGGAUUAGAUACCCUGGUAGUCCACGCAGUAAACGAUGAAUACUAACUGUUUGCGAUACAAUGUAAGCGGUACAGCGAAAGCGUUAAGUAUUCCACCUGGGGAGUACGCCGGCAACGGUGAAACUCAAAGGAAUUGACGGGGGCCCGCACAAGCGGAGGAACAUGUGGUUUAAUUCGAUGAUACGCGAGGAACCUUACCCGGGCUCAAACGCAGGGGGAAUAUAUAUGAAAGUAUAUAGCUAGCAAUAGUCACCUGCGAGGUGCUGCAUGGUUGUCGUCAGCUCGUGCCGUGAGGUGUCGGCUUAAGUGCCAUAACGAGCGCAACCCCUAUGGACAGUUACUAACGGGUAAAGCCGAGGACUCUGUCUAGACUGCCGGCGCAAGCCGCGAGGAAGGUGGGGAUGACGUCAAAUCAGCACGGCCCUUACGUCCGGGGCGACACACGUGUUACAAUGGCAGGUACAGAAGGCAGCCAGUCAGCAAUGACGCGCGAAUCCCGAAAACCUGUCUCAGUUCGGAUUGGAGUCUGCAACCCGACUCCAUGAAGCUGGAUUCGCUAGUAAUCGCGCAUCAGCCAUGGCGCGGUGAAUACGUUCCC